rnacentral:rRNA from 1 species
GGGUGACAGGGAGACAGGUGGUGCAUGGUUGUCGUUCAGCUCGUGUCGUGAGAUGUUGGGUUAAGUCCCGCAACGAGCGCAACCCCUACGUUUAGUUGCUAACGCGUGAAGGCGAGCACUCUAGACGAACUGCCGUUGACAAAACGGAGGAAGGUGGGGAUGACGUCAAAUCAUCAUGCCCCUUAUGUUCUGGGCUACACACGUGCUACAAUGGCCGGUACAGACGGACGCAAAGCCGCGAGGUGGAGCAAAUCCUAAAAAGCCGGUCUCAGUUCGGAUUGCAGGCUGCAAUUCGCCUGCAUGAAGUCGGAAUCGCUAGUAAUCGCAGGUCAGCAUACUGCGGUGAAUACGUUCCCGGGCCUU